rnacentral:rRNA from 1 species
GUAAUAUGUUUUUUUACUUUUGACCUCAACUCAGUCGUGAUUACCCGCUGAAUUUAAGCAUAUAACUAAGCGGAGGAAAAGAAACUAACGAGGAUUUCCCUAGUAACGGCGAGUGAACAGGAAAAAGCCCAACGCUGAAUCCAAUAGACAUUUUUGUACUAGAUGGAAAUGUAGCGUAUAGGUGUAACUAUCCAUAUGCAUUCCUACACCCAAAGUCCCCUUGAGCGGGGCUACAGUCCAUAGAAGGUGCUAGACCUGUACGGGUGAGGCAAAUUAUGGUAAGUUGCACUUUGGAGUCGGGUUGUUUGAGAUUGCAGCCCAAAUCGGGUGCAAA